rnacentral:rRNA from 1 species
CAGUUCGGAUUGUAGUCUGCAACCCGACUACAUGAAGCUGGAAUCGCUAGUAAUCGCGGAUCAGAAUGCCGCGGUGAAUACGUUCCCGGGUCUUGUACACACCGCCCGUCACACCAUGGGAGUCGGAAAUGCCCGAAGUCUGUGACCUAACCGAGAGGGAGGAGCAGCCGAAGGCAGGUCUGAUGACUGGGGUGAAGUCGUAACAAGGUAUC